rnacentral:rRNA from 1 species
CCUACGGGUGGCAGCAGUGAGGAAUAUUGGUCAAUGGGCGAGAGCCUGAACCAGCCAAGUCGCGUGAAUGAUGAAGGAUCUAUGGUUUGUAAACUUCUUUUAUAUGGGAAUAAAGUGAGGAACGUGUUCCUUUUUGUAUGUACCAUAUGAAUAAGCAUCGGCUAACUCCGUUCCAGCAGCCGCGUUAAUACGGAGGAUGCUAUCGUUCUCCGGAUUUAUUGGGUUUACAGGGUGCGUAGGCGGAUCGUUAAGUCAGUGGUCAAAUUGAGGGGAGCAACCCCUUCCCGCCAUUGAAACUGGCGCUCUUGAGUGGAAGAGAAGGAUGCGGAAUGCGUGGUGUAGCGGUGAAAUGCAUAGAGAUCACGCAGAACCCCGAUUGCGAAGGCAGCAUGCCGGCUUCCGACUGACGCUGAAGCACGAAAGCGUGGGGAUCGAACAGGAUUAGAUACCCUUGUAGUC